ensembl:misc_RNA Metazoa_SRP Metazoan signal recognition particle RNA
GCCGGGCAUGGUGGCUCACGCCUGUAAUCCCAGCACUUUGGGAGGCUGAGGUGGGUGGAUCACCUGAGGUCAGGAGUUUGAGACCAGCCUGGCCAACAUGGUGAAACCCCAUCUCUA